UGGGGAAUUUUGGACAAUGGGCGAAAGCCUGAUCCAGCAAUGCCGCGUGUGUGAAGAAGGCCUUCGGGUUGUAAAGCACUUUUGUCCGGAAAGAAAUCCUUGGCUCUAAUACAGAUCGGGGGAUGACGGUACCGGAAGAAUAAGCACCGGCUAACUACGUGCCAGCAGCCGCGGUAAUACGUAGGGUGCAAGCGUUAAUCGGAAUUACUGGGCGUAAAGCGUGCGCAGGCGGUUUGCUAAGACCGAUGUGAAAUCCCCGGGCUCAACCUGGGAACUGCAUUGGUGACUGGCAGGCUAGAGUAUGGCAGAGGGGGGUAGAAUUCCACGUGUAGCAGUGAAAUGCGUAGAGAUGUGGAGGAAUACCGAUGGCGAAGGCAGCCCCCUGGGCCAAUACUGACGCUCAUGCACGAAAGCGUGGGGAGCAAACAGGAUUAGAUACCCUGGUAGUCCACGCCCUAAACGAUGUCACUGUUGUUGGGGAUUCAUUCCCUUAGUAACGUAGCUAACGCGUGAA
rnacentral:rRNA from 1 species